GAUGAAGUUGAAGGAAGCAACGGAGGCUGCCCUUUUGUUUCAGCCUCUUGUUGUAGAGGCAGUUGACUUCGAGGGGUAAACAAUUAUGUGUUUAUCAAGGUUAUCCGAUGCAUCAGUUUGUGGAUAAAGAGGGAAUAUGGAAAAUUCAAGGUUGGGAUAAAUGGCUUGGACUCCAUGGCUCAGAAGGUACCCGAGGUGGGUUGGAACACCAUGGCCAGGGAAUAAUGUACGGAUCAUCCGAGAGUGAUCCAGAUUGAGAUGGAAGUAGUUGAGUUGCAGAAAAGGAAUCUCGCAUGCCAACAUUCUUCUGCAGAAGUAUCUGUGAUGCAUGAAGAAGAACACUGCUCUAAAACCUGGAAUGUUUGAGAAUUUCAACAUCCUAAUCCAGUUGAGAUAUCAUGAAGACAGAAGCAGAUGGAUGAAAUCAUUUGAGGUUUCCUUUUAAUAGAUGCAGUGACCACCCUUUCCUCCUUUUCUCCACUCUGAUCUUGAGGAGGGCAUCAGAUGCCUGGUUCUUGCUCUGGGAAGGUGUGGGAUCGACCACUGGGCUGGAGUUUGUUUCUGUAGGAACAGUUGUAAGAGAGCAUUCUUCUCAUUCCCUCACUAUUUCCUUCCUCAUAGCAGGAAUAGCUACUAUACUUUCAGAUUUUUGUUAUGCAGUUCUUUCUAGCUACUGCCCAUCUGAUGGAAGUGCCUACCAUUAUCCAUAUAUUCCUUUGCUUGAUGUUCUUGUUGUCCCAUGUGCUGCAAUUCUUGGCCUUGUGGUCACCGGACUCUAUGGGAAUUAAGGAUGUUCCUUAUCAACAAUUCUUUUCCUUUCCGUGGAAAUUUAAUCUUUGUUUAGUCUUUCAAUUCAAACAUUUUUCCUUGCAGUUGGUUCUGUUAUGUAUGCUAUGGUUUGCAUUCGUCCAAACGUUUCACAGGCUGUCAGUGUGGUGAGCAGAUACUUGUCAUGUCCAGGUGAAACAUAUUGCGAAGCAAUGAAGUGGAUACUUAGGUACUUAAAAGGGACCUCUGGUGUUUGUUUGGAGUUUGGGAGGAAUGGUGAUAAUUUAUCUAGUUAUGUUGGGUCAGAUUAUGCAGAUGAUCUUGACAAAAGGACGUCACUCAUAGGCUAUGUAUUUACUCUUGGAGGAAGUACAGUUAGUUGAAAAGCUACUUUACAAGCUACAGUUGCAUUAUCUACUACUAAAGCAGAGUAUAUGGCAAUGACUAAGGCAAUUAAAUAAGCUAUUUGGCUUAGAGGUUUGUUGGGAGAACUUAGCAUGGAUCAUGGGGUGACUGUUGUCCAUUGUGAUAGCUCGACUGUUAUUCACUUGACCGAAGAUCCGAUGUAUCAUGAGGACAAAGUACAUUGAUGUUCGGUAUCAUUUCAGUAAAGAGAUAAUUGUUAAGGUAAUAUUCAAGUGUUGAAAAUUGGUACUAAAGACAAUCCAGCUAAUAUGUUGACUAAGCCUUUAUGUGUUGAUAAGUUCGAGCAUUGCUUAAACUUAUUUGGCGUAUGCCGUCUUUGAGUUGAGCCCUUUGGAGGGCUAUUGGAGAAGAUGAAGAUUUUAGCUAUUCAUUUGUUUGUUCAAGGAGAAUUCAAGUCAAGGUGGAGAUUUGUUAAGUUUGGCUCUAAUUCUUGACCCAUUUUGAAGAUUGACCCGCUCCGACAUAUUUUUGUGGCAAGUCAUUGCAUUUUGGGGGUUUUUUGAGCUAGGGUUUCAGGAUGAAUUUUCUCGUCACUGUUUAAGUGUAAUCUCUCUUCUGUAUAGUAAAACAUCUUUUUCUUCACCCGAGGACAUAGCAUACCACACCGGUGUGUAAACCUCGUUAAAUCUCUGUGUUGUGCGGAUCUAUUACCUGUUUAUUUUCAUAUUUCUUGGUGUUUGUUCUAACAAACACUAAUAUGAUGGUUCAUCGACAACAAAAGUUACAUGGUUGCAAAAAUUGUUUUCUUCUGGUAGUUGCAUAAGCAGUUCUUCAAAAGCCAGCCGUAGUUCCUUGACUUUCUUUUCGAUUGCAUCAAUUUUAUGAAUAGUUAGACACAAAACUAAUUGGAAAUCAAAAUAUACUUGUCAAUGCAGUUUGAUAGACUUUUAUCAAAAACUCGACUGGUAUUUGUUCAUUUUUCUAUGUACUUGCAUGGAUCUCUAUUCUAA